rnacentral:rRNA from 1 species
UACGUAGGGGGCAAGCGUUGUCCGGAAUUAUUGGGCGUAAAGCGCGUGUAGGCGGCUCGGUAAGUCUGCUGUGAAAGUCCAAGGCUCAACCUUGGAAAGCCGGUGGAUACUGUCGAGCUCGAGUCCGGAAGAGGCGAGUGGAAUUCCUGGUGUAGCGGUGAAAUGCGCAGAUAUCGGGAGGAACACCUAUGGCGAAGGCAGGUCUCUGGGCAUUAACUGACGCUGAGGAGCGAAAGCAUGGGGAGCGAACAGG